GCCCGGCUAGCUCAAUCGGUAGAGCGUGAGACUCUUAAUCUCAAGGUUGUGGGUUCGACCCGUAAGCGCAUUCCCGGCU